rnacentral:rRNA from 1 species
AGGGUUUGAUCAUGGCUCAGGACGAACGCUGGCGGCGUGCUUGAUACAUGCAAGUCAAGGAGAACGUUUUCUUCGGAAAAUUAUUAAACUGGCGAACGGGUGAGUAACACGUAGGUAACCUGCCGUAAAGAUUGGGAUAACUCCGGGAAACCGGGGCUAAUACCGAAUAAAGCAAAUUACUCGCAUGAGUAUUUUGUUAAAGCGGGCUUCGGCUCGCACUUUAUGAUGGGCCUGCGUCCGAUUAGCUUGUUGGUGAGGUAAAUGCUUACCAAGGCCAUGAUCGGUAGCUGGUCUGAGAGGAUGAUCAGCCACACUGGGAUUGAGAUACGGCCCAGACUCCUACGGGAGGCAGCAGUAAGGAAUUUUGCACAAUGGACGAAAGUCUGAUGCAGCAACGCCGCGUGAUUGAUGAAGCUUUUAGGAGUGUAAAGAUCUGUCGUGAGGGAAGAAAAAUUUAGAUGUAAAUAAUGUUUAAACUUGACGGUACCUUACAAGAAAGCACCGGCUAACUUCGUGCCAGCAGCCGCGGUAAUACGAGGGGUGCUAGCGUUGUCCGGAAUAACUGGGCGUAAAGGGUCCGUAGGCGUUUUGCCAAGUUGACCGUUAAAUCCAUCGGCUUAACCGAUGAACUGCGGUCAAAACUGGUAGAAUAGAAUAUGUGAGGGGAAUGUGGAAUUCCUGGUGUAGCGGUGACAUGCGUAGAUAUCAGAGGAACACCGAUGGCGAAAGCAGCAUUCUGGC